rnacentral:rRNA from 1 species
UACAGAGGUCCCAAGCGUUGUUCGGAUUCACUGGGCGUAAAGGGUGCGUAGGUGGCCAGGUAAGUUUGGUGUGAAAGCUCGGAGCUUAACUCCGAAAAGUCAUUGAAUACUAUCUGGCUGGAGGGUCGGAGGGGAGACUGGAAUUCUCGGUGUAGCAGUGAAAUGCGUAGAGAUCGGGAGGAACAUCAGUGGCGAAGGCGGCCAUCUGGGACAACACUGACGCUGAAGCACGAAAGCGUGGGGAGCAAACAGG